ensembl:lncRNA
CUGUAAGGUCUGUUUUGGGUUGUGUUUCUUAUUCAUUGUUUUCAUGUCUUUUUAUUUUGUAGUUUGAUUUAUGCUGUUUGUGUCAUGCUUCCCUUGCACCCAUGUUUCUCUUCCUUGUUUAUGUGUCAUGUUCUCAUUGGUUAUUGUCUUGUCAUGUGAUUAUCAGUUCUGUUUGCUCAUUGGUUUGUUCAUGUCAUGUGACCCUCAUUUUCUGUUAUAAGUAGUCAUGUUAUUGCCUUGUUCUUUGUUGUGUAUUAAUGUUGUAACCUGUUGUCGGUGAGUCUAGUCUGUUCACGUCAAGUCUGUUUAUGCCUCAUCAAGUCUGUUCUAGUCAAGUCAAGUCUAGUCAAGUCUUUGUUUAUUGUUUGGAUUAUGUUUGGAUUUCUGGAUCACUUGUAAAUAAACUGCACUUGGGUUCUCACUAUGCUCGCCUUCAGUGGACUCUUUACAGAAUACAUGACCGCUACCAUGAACCCAGCAGUUUCACACCUCCUCUGCCUUCGUCAAGUUCACUUCUUACUGUGGGAGUUGUGGAUGAGGAGCCCCACAAUUGUGCUGUACCCUCUGCACCAGACCAUUCUCACAUCCCAACUGUCAUGUCAGGAGUUGUCAACACCAUGCCUGUUACCCCAAGGCCUGUUCACAUCACGUCUGUCAAGCCAAAGCCUGCUCACAUCACGUCUGCCAAGCCACAGCCUUCUCACUUCAUGUCUGCUACGCCAAGGCCUGCUAACAUCAUGCCCGCUACUCCAGGACCUGCUCCCAACCUGCCAGUUAAGUCACAGUUUACUCAUAUCAUGUCUACUAAGUCAAAGCCUGAUCACAUCAUGUCUGCCAAGCCAGAGUCCUCUAACAUCAUGUCUGCUACCCCAGGGUUUGAUCACGUACUGCCUACUACGCCAAGUCCUCUUCACAUCACGUCUUCCAAGCCAGAGCCUGCUCACAUCAUGCCGGUCACUCAAGAGAUUCUUCUCAACAUGGCCGCCAUUGAAGAGUCUCUCUACAAAAUGGCCGCCCUUCUAGACUCUCGUCAUGUCUCAACCGAUCAUCCAGAGUCUCACCAUGUCACAGCUGAUCAUCCAGAGCCUUGUCACGACAUGGCCACCAUUCCAGAGCCUCGUCAUGACAUGGCCACCAUUUCUGAGUCUGCUUGCGUCAUGCUUGCCAAGCCAGAGCCUUCACACAAGAUGACCACCAUGCCUGAGUCCCCGGCCAAGAUGGCCGCCAUGCCUGAGUCUCCGGCCAAGCCUGAGUCUCGCCAUGUUAUGGCUGUCACAGAGACUGUUCCCAUGACCUCAGUGCUUCCAGUAAUGGCAGUCGCCAUUUUGAGCUUGUGGGCUGCACACUGCGCUCCAGAGACCUCUCCUGUCCACGAGUCUACUCCUGAGGCCGCUCCUGGCAGUGAAUUCACUCCAGUGCCCCCAGAGGCGGCAGUGUCCACUGCAGAACCUCCAGAGGCGGCGGCUUCUGCUGCAGAACCUCCCGAGGUGGUGGCACCCACCUUUGAGCUCUCUGGCUGUCCUGUCACAGCCAAGGAGGCCGUACACAAUCUCUCUGCCUGUCCUGUCAUGACCAAGGAGGCCGUCCAUGAACUCUCUGCCUGUCCUGUCACGGCCAAGGAGGCCGUCCACAAUCUCUCUGUCUGUCCUGUCAUGACCAAGGAGGCCGUCCACGAACUCUCUGGCUGUCCUGUCACAGCCAAGGAGGCCGUCCACAAUCUCUCUGCCUGUCCUGUCAUGACCAAGGAGGCCGUCCACGAACUCUCUGCCUGUCCUGUCACGGCCAAGGACGCCGUCCAUGAACUCACUGCCUGUCCUGUCACGGCCAAGGAGGCCAUCCACGAACUCUCUGCUUGUCCUGUCACUGCCAAGGAGGCCAUCCACAAACUCACUGCCUGUCCUGUCACGGCCAUGGAGGCUGCUCAUGAACUCACUGCCUGUCCUGCCAUGGCCAUGGAGGCCGCUCACAAACUCACUGCCUGUCCCGCAACGGCCAUGGAGGCCGCUCAUGAACUCACUAUCUGUCCUGUCACGGCCAAGUAGUCUGUCCAUGUCUCUGCUCUGUGGGCACCGCCUGGCCACCCCGCUCUACCUGCACCGCCAUGGCUCCAUACUGCUCUGGAUCUGCUCCACGGCCCAGGUCCCCCUCUGCUCCAUUGUCUGUCAUUGCCUAAUGAUCCUGAUCCACCACUGCUCCUAGCUCCAGGCCCAUCAUUGCUCCACAUUCCAGGUCCUGUUCCUCUUCAUGGGCCUGGCCCUCCAUCCCGCCCCCUUCUGAAUUUCUUGGGUUUUGUUUCUUGUUCAUUGUUUUCAUGUCUUUAUUUUGUAGUUUGAUUUAUGCUGUUUUUGUCAUGCUUCCCUUGCCCUGAUGUAUCUCUGCCUUGUGUAUGUGUCAUGUUCUCUUUGGUUAUUGUCUUGUCAUAUGAUUAUCAGUUCUGUUUGCUCAUUGGUUUGUUCAUGUCAUGUGACCCUCAUUGUCUGUUAUAAGUAGUCAUGUUAUUGCCUUGUUCUGUCAUGUAUUAAUGUUGUAACCUGCUGUCGGUGAGUCUAGUCUGUUCAUGUCACAUCAAGUCUUUUAACGUCAAGUCUGUUUAUGCCUCCUCAAGUUCUAGUCAAGUUUUGUUUAUUGUUUGGAUUAUGUUUGGAUUUCUGGAUCACUUGUAAUAAUGAUCCUGAUCCACCACUGCUCCUAGCUCCAGGCCCAUCAUUGCUCCACAUUCCAGGUCCUGUUCCUCUUCAUGGGCCUGGCCCUCCAUCCCGCCCCCUGUUCCGCCUCCACUCCACCACCCUUCUGAAUUUCUUGGGUUUUGUUUCUUGUUCAUUGUUUUCAUGUCUUUAUUUUGUAGUUUGAUUUAUGCUGUUUUUGUCAUGCUUCCCUUGCCCUGAUGUAUCUCUGCCUUGUGUAUGUGUCAUGUUCUCUUUGGUUAUUGUCUUGUCAUAUGAUUAUCAGUUCUGUUUGCUCAUUGGUUUGUUCAUGUCAUGUGACCCUCAUUGUCUGUUAUAAGUAGUCAUGUUAUUGCCUUGUUCUGUCAUGUAUUAAUGU